rnacentral:sRNA from 1 species
UCAUCCUGCCGUGUGACUGGCGUUUCCUCCCUAAACUUGGCCCGCUGCGCCAUGGGCGCGCGGGCCUUUUUUCUGUUUAGG